AUUGAACGCUGGCGGCAGGCCUAACACAUGCAAGUCGAACGAGUGGCGGACGGGUGAGUAAUGUCUGGGAAACUGCCUGAUGGAGGGGGAUAACUACUGGAAACGGUAGCUAAUACCGCAUACCAUCGGAUGUGCCCAGAUGGGAUUAGCUAGUAGGUGGGGUAAAGGCUCACCUAGGCGACGAUCCCUAGCUGGUCUGAGAGGAUGACCCGCCACACUGGAGCUGAGACACGGUCCAGACUCCUACGGGAGGCAGAAGCGGGGAAUAUUGGACACUGGGCGCAAGCCUGAUGCAGCCAUUCCGCGAGUAUGAAGAAGGCCCUCGGGUUGUAAAGUACUUUCAGCGGGGAGGCGUUACCCGCAGAAGAAGCGCCGGCUGACUCCGUGCCAGAAGCCGCGGUAAUAC
rnacentral:rRNA from 1 species